rfam:Methylobacter tundripaludum SV96 genomic scaffold Mettuscaffold_2, whole genome shotgun sequence.
GGGGGCGACAUGGCUUCGACGUGGGUAGCGAAACCUUAAGCGCAUGCCGAGGACAGUACACCUCGUAAAAUCUACUGAAACUAAAGUAUUCGCAAAUGACGAAAACUACUCAAUGGCUUUAGCUGCUUAAACACAGCACCAUUCCUCUGACCAUCUGUGCUUAUGCGGGUGGAGUUUUUAGUACCUUUUAGGUAUGAGAGGCGCUCAGAGGUCAUCUACAUAAGAUCGCGCUGAAAUCUGUCCGGUGUGGAUGCGCUAAAACCUUACGGAAUCGCUGGUGAUUUUCUUGGCCCGACGGGUAGUCACUGGCUAAAUCAAAAGAGCGGGAUAAGCAUGUAGACCUUGUGGCGGAGUACUUGCGGACGGGGGUUCAAUUCCCCCCGCCUCCACCA